rnacentral:rRNA from 1 species
GAUGAACGCUGGCGGCGUGCUUAACACAUGCAAGUCGAACGGUGAACGAGGGAGCUUGCUCCCUCCGGAUCAGUGGCGAACGGGUGAGUAACACGUGAGCAAUCUGCCCUGGACUCUGGGAUAAGCGUUGGAAACGACGUCUAAUACCGGAUACGAGACGUGGGGGCAUCCCCAACGCCUGGAAAGAACUUCGGUCCAGGAUGAGCUCGCGGCCUAUCAGCUAGUUGGUGAGGUAACGGCUCACCAAGGCGACGACGGGUAGCCGGCCUGAGAGGGUGACCGGCCACACUGGGACUGAGACACGGCCCAGACUCCUACGGGAGGCAGCAGUGGGGAAUAUUGCACAAUGGGCGCAAGCCUGAUGCAGCAACGCCGCGUGAGGGACGACGGCCUUCGGGUUGUAAACCUCUUUUAGCAGGGAAGAAGCGAAAGUGACGGUACCUGCAGAAAAAGCACCGGCUAACUACGUGCCAGCCGCCGCAGUAA